GGCUCAGAUUGAACGCUGGCGGCAUGCCUUACACAUGCAAGUCGAACGGCAGCACGGGGCAACCUGGUGGCGAGUGGCGAACGGGUGAGUAAUGCAUCGGAACGUGCCAUUGAGUGGGGGAGAACGUAGCGAAAGUUGCGCUAAUACCGCAUAUUCUGUGAGCAGGAAAGCAGGGGACCGCAAGGCCUUGCGCUCUUUGAGCGGCCGAUGUCAGAUUAGCUAGUUGGUGAGGUAACGGCUUACCAAGGCGACGAUCUGUAGCGGGUCUGAGAGGAUGAUCCGCCACACUGGAACUGAGACACGGUCCAGACUCCUACGGGAGGCAGCAGUGGGGAAUUUUGGACAACGGGCGCAAGCCUGAUCCAGCCAUGCCGCGUGAGUGAAGAAGGCCUUCGGGUUGUAAAGCUCUUUCGGCCGGGAAGAAAUCGCAUGGGUUAAUACCCUGUGUGGAUGACGGUACCGGAAUAAGAAGCACCGGCUAACUACGUG
rnacentral:rRNA from 1 species